rnacentral:rRNA from 1 species
GAAAACCUACGGGAGGCAGCAGUAGGGAAUAUUGCUCAAUGGGGGAAACCCUGAAGCAGCAACGCCGCGUGGAGGAUGAAGGUUUUCGGAUUGUAAACUCCUUUUGUUAGAGAAGAUAAUGACGGUAUCUAACGAAUAAGCACCGGCUAACUCCGUGCCAGCGGACGCGGUAAUACGGAGGGUGCAAGCGGUACUCGGAAUCACUGGGCGUAAAGAGCGCGUAGGCGGGAUAGAAAGUAAGAUGUGAAGUCCUAUGGCGUAACC